UCCUCAGAACAAACUGAUAUACAGAGGAAAACCCAGUAACACAAAGAAAGGGUCAAGGACACUUAAGUAACACCAUACUUUUCAUUCGUGCUACAAGAGAAAGAUGGUUUUUCCCAAUUAAUAAGCUUUUUUGGAGAUCUCUGUAUCAUUAGUUAUCAAAUAAUUAUUAGACAAUUGUUAGUUACAUGUGGCACUAAAUACGAAUGAAAAUAAUAAAGAAUUUAUGAAUGCCCCUUCCCGUUUUAUGUAAAGGGCAUCUGCUUCUAAAAGAUGCUUUUGAUAAUGUUUUUCAAGACAUUUGGCAA